GAUGAACGCUGGCGGCGUGCCUAAUACAUGCAAGUCGAGCGAACAGACGAGGAGCUUGCUCCUUCGACGUUAGCGGCGGACGGGUGAGUAACACGUAGGUAACCUACCUAUAAGACUGGGAUAACUUCGGGAAACCGGAGCUAAUACCGGAUAAUAUUUCGAACCGCAUGGUUCGAUAGUGAAAGAUGGCUUUGCUAUCACUUAUAGAUGGACCUGCGCCGUAUUAGCUAGUUGGUAAGGUAACGGCUUACCAAGGCAACGAUACGUAGCCGACCUGAGAGGGUGAUCGGCCACACUGGAACUGAGACACGGUCCAGACUCCUACGGGAGGCAGCAGUAGGGAAUCUUCCGCAAUGGGCGAAAGCCUGACGGAGCAACGCCGCGUGAGUGAUGAAGGUCUUCGGAUCGUAAAACUCUGUUAUUAGGGAAGAACAAACGUGUAAGUAACUGUGUACGUCUUGACGGUACCUAAUCAGAAAGCCACGGCUAACUACGUG
rnacentral:rRNA from 1 species